AGCCCUGCAAAGGAAGGCAAAGGCAUUCUGCUGGCUCUCUUCCUUACCUUUUUGGGAGGAUGAAAGAAUGAUUUAUAGUUUAAUAACUGAGUAGUGAUUAAUCAAAUAACUGACUCAUUGAUUUAUUAUGAAGCAAUUUCCUAAGGAUGAUAAAAUAGCAACUCCAAAAUGGGUGCUUUUGGUUGGAGCUCUUUAUGAGGCUAUUUAGGUUACCGUUCCAUCUUGCUAAUGCGUGUUCAGUGCUAGAUCAACAGUUUCUAAUGUUCAAAUGCCUGCUCUAAAACCAGAAUUUUGAGUCUAAAGGAGCCUUCUGCCUGCAGUUUCCCUUCUGGCAGAAAAAAAGACUGGAGUCAUCCAAAAUGARUAAGGGUUUCUACUUGAACGCCUGGGCUGAACAAAACAGUCCUGGAAGAAAGUUCUAGUGUCUCUGACACCCUAGGUUUAAAACAAGCAGAYGAAGGUGGCUGCUGCAAGGA